rnacentral:lncRNA from 1 species
GGCUACGGGCACUCAUUGCCAGCAUCAGACGCUUUUACCCUACGGUCACCAUAGUAAUCGCUGACGACAGCGACAAACCGGAGCGAAUUAGCGACCCCCAUGUGGAGCACUAUUUCAUGCCCUUCGGCAAGGUGUGCUGCCCCGCAAAGCAGAGCCGGGGCGCCAGAGGACUCUGGGAAGGGGGCGUGCCUCAGUCUUGCAGCUUCCAGGGUACUGGUUAAAGACCAUCUGCUUCAAACAAAUGUGUGCCUAUCACAAGGGUUCCUGGAUCAGGAAUCCUGCCUAUCUUAUUCGGUCCGCAUUCUUGAAAUGGUGCUUAAUAUCUAUAGCAAUACAAUGGAUGGACGGAAGGAUGGAUGGAUGGAUGGAUGGGUGGAUGGGUGGAUGGGUGGAUGGG